rnacentral:rRNA from 1 species
GAUGGACGCUGGCGGCGUGCCUAAUACAUGCAAGUCGAGCGAACAGAUGAGGAGCUUGCUCCUCUGACGUUAGCGGCGGACGGGUGAGUAACACGUGGAUAACCUACCUAUAAGACUGGGAUAACUUCGGGAAACCGGAGCUAAUACCGGAUAAUAUAUUGAACCGCAUGGUUCAAUAGUGAAAGACGGUUUUGCUGUCACUUAUAGAUGGAUCCGCGCCGCAUUAGCUAGUUGGUAAGGUAACGGCUUACCAAGGCAACGAUGCGUAGCCGACCUGAGAGGGUGAUAGGCCAAACUGGAACUGAGACACGGUCCAGACUCCUACGGGAGGCAGCAGUAGGGAAUCUUCCGCAAUGGGCGAAAGCCUGACGGAGCAACGCCGCGUGAGUGAUGAAGGUCUUCGGAUCGUAAAACUCUGUUAUUAGGGAAGAACAAAUGUGUAAGUAACUAUGCACGUCUUGACGGUACCUAAUCAGAAAGCCACGGCUAACUACGUG